UCUGCAACCCGACUACAUGAAGCUGGAAUCGCUAGUAAUCGCGGAUCAGAAUGCCGCGGUGAAUACGUUCCCGGGUCUUGUACACACCGCCCGUCACACCAUGGGAGUCGGAAAUGCCCGAAGUCUGUGACCUAACCGUAAGGAAGGAGCAGCCGAAGGCAGGUCGGAUGACUGGGGUGAAGUCGUAACAAGGUACC
rnacentral:rRNA from 1 species